rnacentral:rRNA from 1 species
CUAGCUUCAGCGAUGGAUCGGUCGAUUCGCGUAUCGAUGAAAAACGCAGCUAGCUGCGUUAUUUACCACGAAUUGCAGACGCUUAGAGUGGUGAAAUUUGAACGCAUAGCGCCGU